GAGUUUGAUCCUGGCUCAGAACGAACGCUGGCGGCAGGCCUAAGACAUGCAAGUCGAACGAUAUAGUGGCAGACGGGUGAGUAACGCGUGGAAACGUGCCCUUUAGUAAGGAAUAGCUCCUGGAAACGGGUGGUAAUACCUUAUAAUCCCUCCGGGGAAAAGAUUUAUCGCUAAAGGAUCGGUCCGCGUUAGAUUAGCUAGUUGGUGUGGUAAUGGCGCACCAAGGCGACGAUCUAUAGCUGGUCUGAGAGGAUGAUCAGCCACACUGGGACUGAGACACGGCCCAGACUCCUACGGGAGGCAGCAGUCGGGAAUAUUGCACAAUGGGCGAAAGCCUGAUGCAGCCAUGCCGCGUGAAUGAUGAAGGCCCUAGGGUUGUAAAAUUCUUUCACCGGGGAAGAUAAUGACGGUACCCGGAGAAGAAGCUCCGGCUAACUUCGUGCCAGCAGCCGCGGUAAUACGAAGGGAGCUAGCGUUGUUCGGAAUUACUGGGCGUAAAGCGCGCGUAGGCGGAUUUGUAAGUUGGAUGUGAAAUCCCAGGGCUCAACCUUGGAACUGCAUUCAAAACUGCAAGUCUAGAGGACAGGAGAGGCAAGUGGAAUUCCGAGUGGAGAGGUGAAAUUCACAGAUAUUCGGAGGAACACCGGUGGCGAAGGCGACUUGCUGGACUGUUUCUGACGCUGAGGUGCGAAAGUGUGGGUAGCAAACAGGAUUAGAUACCCUGGUAGUCCACACCGUAAACGAUGAGUGCUAGUUGUUGGCAGGUAUACCUGUCGGUGACGCAGCUAACGCAUUAAGCACUCCGCCUGGGGAGUACGGUCGCAAGAUUAAAACUCAAAGAAAUUGACGGGGGCCCGCACAAGCGGUGGAGCAUGUGGUUUAAUUCGAUGCAACGCGAAGAACCUUACCUACACUUGACAUCCUCGGACGUAUCCAGAGAUGGUGACCUCCCUUCGGGGCCGAGUGACAGGUGCUGCAUGGCUGUCGUCAGCCCGUGUCGUGAGAUGUUGGGUUAAGUCCCGCAACGAGCGCAACCCUUACCUUUAGUUGCCAGCAGGUCUGGCUGGGCACUCUAGAGGAACUGCCGGUGAUAAGCCGGAGGAAGGUGGGGACGACGUCAAGUCAUCAUGGCCCUUAUGUGUAGGGCUACACACGUGCUACAAUGGCGGUGACAGAGGGGCAAUCCCCAAAAACCGUCUCAGUUCAGAUUGUCUGCUGCAACUCGCAGGCAUGAAGUCGGAAUCGCUAGUAAUCGUGGAUCAGCAUGCCACGGUGAAUACGUUCUCGGGCCUUGUACACACCGCCCGUCACAUCAUGGGAGUUGGUUCUACCCGAAGAUGGUGAGCUAACCUUUGAGGCAGCCAGCCACGGUAGGAUCAGCGACUAGGAUGAAGUCGUAACAAG
rnacentral:rRNA from 1 species